CGAACGGGUGAGUAACGCGUGAGGAACCUGCCUCAAAGAAGGGGGACGAACAGUUGGAAACGAACUGCUAAUACCGCAUAAGCCCACGGCUCGGCAUCGAGCAGAGGGAAAAGGAGUGAUCCGCUUUGAGAUGGCCUCGCGUCCGAUUAGCUGGUUGGUGAGGUAACGGCCCCACCAAGGCGACGAUCGGUAGCCGGACUGAGAGGUUGAACGGCCACAUUGGGACUGAGACACGGCCCAGACUCCUACGGGAGGCAGCAUG
rnacentral:rRNA from 1 species